rnacentral:lncRNA from 1 species
AUGGUUAACGUGACGUGGUGUGAUCAUAACAACAUACAGGUACUCAAGUCCUUCUGUUCGCCUGAUUUAGAAUUCCUCACAAUCAAAUGUCGACCGCAUUAUCUACCAAGGGAAUUCUCUUCGAUUAUAAUCACAGCCGUAUAUAGUCCCCCCCAAGCAGACACAUCGAUGGCUCUGAACGAACUUUAUUUGACUCUUUGCAAACUGGAAUCCAUUUAUCCGGAGGCUGCAUUCAUUGUAGCUGGGCAUUUUAACAAGGCUAAUCUGAAAACAAGACUCCCUACAUUUUAUCAGCAUAUCGAUUGCGCAACCAGGGCUGGAAAAAGCUUGGAUCACUGCUAUUCUAACUUCCACGACGCAUAUAAGGCCCUGCCCCGCCCUCCUUUUGGAAAAGCUGACCACGACUCCAUUUUGUUGAUCCCUGCCUACAGACAGAAACUAAAACAAGAAGCUCCCGCGAUGAGGUCUGUUCAACGCUGGUCCGACCAAUCUGAUUCCACACUCCAAGACUGCUUCCAUCACGUGGACUGGGAUAUGUUUCGUAUUGCGUCAGACAACAACAUUGACGAAUACGCUGAUUCGGUGAGCGAGUUCAUUAGAACGUGCGUUGAAGAUGUCGUUCCCAUAGCAACGAUUAAAACAUUCCCAAACCAGAAACCGUGGAUUGAUGGCAGCAUUCGCGUGAAACUGAAAGCCCGAACCACUGCUUUUAAUCAGGGCAAGGUGACCGGAAACAUGACCGAAUACAAACAGUGUAACUAUUCCCUCCGCAAGGCAAUCAAACAAGCUAAGCGUCAGUAUAGAGACAAAGUAGAAUCUCAAUUCAACGGCUCAGACACAAGAGGUAUGUGGCAGGGUCUACAGUCAAUCACGGAUUACUUUUUUGCCCGCUUUGAGGACAAUACAGUGCCACUGACACGGCCCGCAACUAAAACAUGCGGACUCUCCUUCACUGCAGCCGAAGUGAGGAAAACAUUUAAACGUGUCAACCCUCGCAAGGCUGCAGGCCCAGACGGCAUCCCCAGCCGCACCCUCAGAGCAUGCGCAGACCAGCUGGCUGGUGUGUUUACGGACAUAUUCAAUCAAUCCCUAUCCCAGUCUGUUGUUCCCACAUGCUUCAAGAGGGCCACCAUUGUUCCUGUUCCCAAGAAAGCUAAGGUAACUGAGCUAAACGAGCUAAACUGUAGCACUCACUUCCGUCAUCAUGAAGUGCUUUGA